rnacentral:rRNA from 1 species
GACGAACGCUGGCGGCGUGCUUAAUACAUGCCAGUCGAGCGAACAGACGAUGAGCUUGUUGCUCUGACGUUAGCGGCGGGGGGGUGAAUAACACGUGGAUCACCCACCUAUAAUAGUGGGAUACUUCGGGAACUCGGAGCUAAUCCGGGUAAAUAUAUUGACCCGAUUGGUUCAAUAGUGAAAGCCGGUUUUGCUGUCACUUAUACAUGGCUCCGCGCCGCAUUAGCUGGGUGGUAAGGUAACGACGUACCAAGGCAACGACGCGUAGCCGACCUCAGAGGCUGAUAGGCCGCACGGGAACGGAGACACGGACCAUGCGCCUACGAUACGCAGCAGUAGGGAAUCGUACGCAAUGGGCGAAAGCCUGACGGAGCGACGCCGCGUGAGUGAUGGAGGUCCUCGGUGCGUAAGACUCUGUUACUAGGUAAGAACAAAUGUGUAAGUAACUAUGCACGUCUUGACGGUACCUAAUCAGAAAGCCCCGGCUAACUACGUG